rnacentral:tRNA from 1 species
UACAUCUAUAGCUCAGCUGGAUAGAGCGUUGGACUUCGAAUCCAAGCGUCGCAGGUUCGAAUCCUGUUAGAUGUACCAU